AUUGAACGCUGGCGGCAUGCCUUACACAUGCAAGUCGAACGGCAGCACGGGUGCUUGCACCUGGUGGCGAGUGGCGCACGGGUGAGUAAUACAUCGGAACAUGUCCUGUAGUGGGGGAUAGCCCGGCGAAAGCCGGAUUAAUACCGCAUACGAUCUACGGAUGAAAGCGGGGGACCUUCGGGCCUCGCGCUAUCGGGUUAGCCGAUGGCUGAUUAGCUAGUUGGUGGGGUAAAGGCCUACCAAGGCGACGAUCAGUAGCUGGUCUGAGAGGACGACCAGCCACACUGGGACUGAGACACGGCCCAGACUCCUACGGGAGGCAGCAGUGGGGAAUUUUGGACAAUGGGCGAAAGCCUGAUCCAGCAAUGCCGCGUGUGUGAAGAAGGCCUUCGGGUUGUAAAGCACUUUUGUCCGGAAAGAAAUCCUUGGCCCUAAUACGGUCGGGGGAUGACGGUACCGGAAGAAUAAGCACCGGCUAACUACGUG
rnacentral:rRNA from 1 species